rnacentral:rRNA from 1 species
AUUGAACGCUGGCGGCAGGCCUAACACAUGCAAGUCGAGCGGGGUUUUCGGACCUAGCGGCGGACGGGUGAGUAAUGCCUAGGAAUCUGCCUGGUAGUGGGGGAUAACGCUCGGAAACGGACGCUAAUACCGCAUACGUCCUACGGGAGAAAGCAGGGGACCUUCGGGCCUUGCGCUAUCAGAUGAGCCUAGGUCGGAUU